ACACUGGUAGUUCAGUGGAAGGAAUCUUGCCUUCCAUGCAGGAAACUCAGGUUCGAUUCCCAGCCAGUGCA
rnacentral:tRNA from 1 species